rnacentral:rRNA from 1 species
AUUGAACGCUGGCGGCAGGCCUAACACAUGCAAGUCGAGCGGAUGACGGGAGCUUGCUCCUUGAUUCAGCGGCGGACGGGUGAGUAAUACCUAGGAAUCUGCCUGAUAGUGGGGGACAACGUUUCGAAAGGAACGCUAAUACCGCAUACGUCCUACGGGAGAAAGCAGGGGACCUUCGGGCCUUGCGCUAUCAGAUGAGCCUAGGUCGGAUUAGCUAGUUGGUGAGGUAAUGGCUCACCACGCCGACGAUCCGUAACUGGUCUGAGAGGAUGAGCAGUCACACUGGAACUGAGACACGGUCCAGACUCCUACGGGAGGCAGCAGUGGGGAAUAUUGGACAAUGGGCGAAAGCCUGAUCCAGCCAUGCCGCGUGUGUGAAGAAGGUCUUCGGAUUGUAAAGCACUUUAAGUUGGGAGGAAGGGCAGUAAGCUAAUACCUUGCUGUUUUGACGUUACCGACAGAAUAAGCACCGGCUAACUCUGUGCCAGCCGCCGCGGUAAGAC